rnacentral:tRNA from 1 species
ACCUUGGUGGCGCAAUCGGUAGCGCGUUAGACUCUUACAAAUGAAAAGGAGUUACUCCACUGAAAAAUUCGGUAUUUCGAGGAAUCUGAAUGUUGCGGGUUCGACCCCCGUCCAGGGUG